GUAUGUUUAUAAAUGCCAGUUAGCCAUAAAUUAUCACCUGUAUCAGAAGAUACAGAAGGUCGGGGGUUCGAGCCCCAGCACUGCCAAGCUGCCACUGUUGGGCCCCUGAGCAAGGCCCUUAACCCUCUCUGCUCCAGGGGUGCUGUAUCAUGGCUGACCCUGCGCUCUGAUCCCAACCUCAAACAUGCUGGGGUAUGCGAAGAAAACAAUUUCACUGUGCGUAUGUAUGUGUGACCAAUAAAGACUCCUUAUCAUUUAUCCCUUUCUGCUAAGGAGGAGACUGUAAUCUGGCACCUUUCCAUUCCAGCAACGUGAUUGGCUAUUGCCAAAAGUGGCCGCAGUGUGGAACUCAUUUGCAUAGCAUAAAGUACAGAGUUGGAGAAGUGUCUUUACAGUGUUGCCUAUGCAUUAUUUCUUUUCCAAACCUGUUUCAUAUACACCAGUGCAUAUGUACAUAUAAACAGUAAAGACUCAUUAUCAUUAUAAAAGGUCACAGAGAGCUGAAAAAGACAAAAGUGACUGAGCCCCUCUUAUUAGUGAUAAAUCUUCCAGUAAUGCAGCUCAGCCACUGCAGCGCAUCAGCUACCACAGACACACACAAACUCCUCCUGCUUUUAUAGGGCGCCAUUAGUUUUGUCCACAUUGAACGGCUCGAUUUAUUUCUGUUUUGGAAUCAUUUUCUUUCAGGGCAUUAAUACGAAAUGGAAAUGUUUCACAGAAUGUCAAUGAAAUUGUUGUGUAAGUGAAAUAAAGAAGUGAUUUAAACUUGACCGUCGUUUGUUUAUAAAACUACAGCAACACAAACUCCCAGGAUUCUGUCAUUUUUCUGAACCGACUGCAUGUUCAACACCACAGCUCACGUGUAAACGAAUGAUUUAUGAAUAAAUUAGGCUCAUUACACUUCUCACGUCCUGUACCUGUAAAAACACUCUACUAUCAGAAUAUCAGCUUUAACCAUUUUGAACGAUUAUAUUUUAUUGUAAACUGGACAAUAAAGUAUUUUAAACAUG
ensembl:lncRNA